CCCUUAGAUGUUCUGGGCCGCACGCGUGCUACACUGAUGCAUUCAACGAGUCUAAAACCUGGUCUGAUAGGGCUGGGUAAUCUUUUGAAAGUGCAUCGUGAUUGGGAUAGAUGAUUGCAAUUCUUCAUCUUCAACGAGGAAUGCCUAGUAAACGCAAGUCAUCAGCUUGCAUUGAUUACGUCCCUGCCCUUUGUACACACCGCCCGUCGCUCCUACCGAUUGAAUGAUCCGAUGAAUACCAUGGAUUGAGAGUACGAAUAGGUUCGCUUAUUGCUGCUGCUCGAGAAGUGGAGUAAAUCUUAUCAUUUAGAGGAAGGAGAAGUCGUAACA
rnacentral:rRNA from 1 species